GGACGGGUGAGUAAUGUCUGGGAAACUGCCUGAUGGAGGGGGAUAACUACUGGAAACGGUAGCUAAUACCGCAUAAUGUCGCAAGACCAAAGAGGGGGACCUUCGGGCCUCUUGCCAUCGGAUGUGCCCAGAUGGGAUUAGCUUGUUGGUGGGGUAACGGCUCACCAAGGCGACGAUCCCUAGCUGGUCUGAGAGGAUGACCAGCCACACUGGAACUGAGACACGGUCCAGACUCCUACGGGAGGCAGCAUG
rnacentral:rRNA from 1 species